AUUGAACGCUGGCGGCAUGCCUUACACAUGCAAGUCGAACGGCAGCACGGGAGCAAUCCUGGUGGCGAGUGGCGAACGGGUGAGUAAUAUAUCGGAACGUGCCCAGUCUGGGGGAUAACGUAGCGAAAGCUACGCUAAUACCGCAUACGAUCUAUGGAUGAAAGCGGGGGAUCGCAAGACCUCGCGCGAUUGGAGCGGCCGAUAUCAGAUUAGGUAGUUGGUGAGGUAAAGGCUCACCAAGCCGACGAUCUGUAGCUGGUCUGAGAGGACGACCAGCCACACUGGGACUGAGACACGGCCCAGACUCCUACGGGAGGCAGCAGUGGGGAAUUUUGGGACAAUGGGCGCAAGCCUGAUCCAGCAAUGCCGCGUGCAGGAUGAAGGCC
rnacentral:rRNA from 1 species